CUGGCGGACGGGUGAGUAACGCGUAGAUAACCUGCCUAUAUCAGGGGGAUAACAUUCCGAAAGGGAUGCUAAUACCGCAUAAUGCAGCGGGGCCGCAUGGCCACAGUUGUUAAAGGACUUCGGUUCGGAUAUAGAGGGGUCUGCGUGCUAUUAGUUAGUUGGUGAGGUAACGGCUCACCAAGGCGAUGAUAGCUAGGGGGUCUGAGAGGAUGAUCCCCCACACUGGGACUGAGACACGGCCCAGACUCCUACGGGAGGCAGCAGUGAGGAAUCUUGCGCAAUGGAGGAAACUCUGACGCAGCCACGCCGCGUGCCGGAAGACGGCCCUAUGGGUUGUAAACGGCUUUUAA
rnacentral:rRNA from 1 species